GCUGUUCUUCUCCCAAUAAGACCCUGUUCAUAUUCGACAUCCUCCAAGCAUCUAUUCCUAAGGGAAGAUAACACCAGUGAAGACCUCGAUAUGUUUCCUGGUUCCUCAGGUCCAGAUCUAAUGCCUCCUGUAAAAGUGCCAAGAUUAUACACCCAACUCUCUCUUUAAACAGUAAAAACAAAAAAUAAGAGUGACCUCCAUGACCUGUACAUUGCCUCUGCAAAGGGUACAGGUUGGGCCAACAGCCAAGCCCCACAAGCACUAGAGGUCGAUGUUUGGAACUGAUUGGGUCGGAAAGGGAUGCAGUCCAUGUCUGUUUCCGGUUCACAGAGGCCUCGACGUCACUACAUAGUUUGGAUGUCUGACUAGCUUCCUGACUUUGAGAGUCUCUUUCUUUAAACACGAGGGACCAACUCUGGAGAGGAAAGAGAAGACAACACGCAAGAGUCUGGCUCCCCUGGCAGCCACUCUCAGGAUGGCUCCUCUCGACGAGAUUUAAACAGAAUGAUGUGGAUAGUGUUCUGGGAGGAGGACGGAGUGCCCACACGCAUGCUCAGAGCCCCUUAGUAUGGAAGGCCACAACUAGGCAGCAUACGUUUUAGGAAGCCGCCUCUUCAUGACAUAGUGCUUCAAGUUUAGAAAACCCCUCUGAAGCUAAAUCAUCUCUACCCUGUGCCAAGAUGGAUGCAUUCCUGUUUUACACACGUGAGACAAACGUAAACACAACUAAAUUCCUUUCUAAAGGAGACAAACUGGCCAGAUCAUCAGGAGAAGGGAACUAAAGAAUUGCAGUGGAAAGAUAACCAUAGCAAGAUUCCAGGCCUGCUGGGACUGUCCCUUGCCCAGAGCUGCCCCAAAGCUCAGCAUACGUGUGUCUACACUUACGCCUUUGUUGAGUGCUCCUGACUUGGUCUUUCCACUCAUAAGUAUGCUAAUAGGAGGAACGGUAAGCUUUUUCUGCGGUUACAGCUCUUGUUCUGUUGCUCUUCCUCUAGAACCUGCUACCCUGCCUUAAAAACUGCUUUCUGCUCUGCCAAGGUGACUCUACCUUCAUAUGGUAGGAAAGCUCUUUUUUGGUUUGGCUAAGCAUUCCAUAGAAAUUCCAUAGAAAAUGGUAGGAGGUACAGCCAUGAACCAUGAAUCUGUCUUCGUGUGUGUGUGUGUGUGUGUGUGUGUGUGUGUGUGUGUGUGUGUGUGCUAGUGUGGUAUGUGUGUAUGUAGA
rnacentral:lncRNA from 1 species